UCCCGCCAAAACACGUGGUGCAAAAAAGACCCUACAGAGAUUUUAUCCUCGAUUUUGUCAUUCCAGGCUUGUUGAGGUCUUAUAAAUCAAUUAAAAAGAUAGCAAAAUUAUGAGAAAGAAAUGAAGACGUGGGUGGAUAGUUAUACUUUUGAGUUAUUUUCCCUGGGAGACUGUAGUACAGGCUGCAUAUCGUAAAUACCCAACACGUCACAAUACUAACGUUAAGACACUUGAUACAUUGGAAAGGAGGUGUGGUCAAAAUGGGAGUGGCCGAGUUUUGUUUAGUCAUCGGUUGUUUGGUACACUAUGGAAUGCACCAGCUCUUGUAAUUAAUAUAUUAGGGUUUAAUGAGAUGAUGUAUAUUCAUGAAAUGUCUGAGUGUGACACUCUUAGCAAGACACUCUUAGCAAGACACUUACCAUCUCUGCCGUUAAUGUCUCAUUACAAAGUUUAUUUAAGAUGAGUGAAGUCCUGCAAUACAAAGUACAUCCAGAGGAUCCAUCAAAGACUAUACUGCAGCAGCAUACUGUUAUGAGUGUUCAUGGUGUUCCAUUGCUAGGAGGAUUAUUAGAAACUAUGAUACUCAAUUCUUAUGAGUCUGUUAUAUCAAAGGGAAGACUGGCAGUGGAAGAGAAAGCAAAAG
rnacentral:misc_RNA from 1 species